CAGGCGAACGAUCUGUAGCUGGUCUGAGAGGACGACCAGCCACACUGGGACUGAGACACGGCCCAGACUCCUACGGGAGGCAGCAGUAGGGAAUAUUGGACAAUGGGCGAAAGCCUGAUCCAGCAAUGCCGCGUGUGUGAAGAAGGCCUAUGGGUUGUAAAGCACUUUCAGUUGGGAAGAAAAGCUUUUAGGUUAAUACCCUAGAGUCUUGACGUUACCAAUAGAAGAAGCACCGGCUAACUCUGUGCCAGCAGCCGCGGUAAGACAGAGGGUGCGAGCGUUAAUCGGAAUUACUGGGCGUAAAGCGUACGUAGGUGGUUGAGUCAGUCGGAUGUGAAAGCCCAAGGCUUAACCUUGGAACUGCAUUCGAUACUGCUCAGCUAGAGUAUAGUAGAGGGAAGCGGAAUUUCUAGUGUAGCGGUGAAAUGCGUAGAUAUUAGAAAGAACACCAGUGGCGAAGGCGGCUUCCUGGACUAAUACUGACACUGAGGUACGAAAGCGUGGGGAGCAAACAGGAUUAGAUACUACAAAGUGUCCCCCAGACUGGUGACAGUCUGGUGUGCAUCCAGCUAUAUCGGUGAAACCCCUAUGGGGUAAUACCGAGGGAAGCUAUAUUAUAUAUUAAUUAAUAGCCCCGUAGAGACUAUGUAGGUAAGGAGAUAGAAGAUGAUCAAAUCAUCUUUGUCGAGUCGAUGUAAAGAGAUAAUUCUUGGCUCUGUUCUGGGAGAUGGGUCAAUAAAGAUACAUAAAGGCUAUGAGAAUGCUCGCUUUUCGUUUCGACACUCGGUAAAAUCGAGUGAAUAUUUUUACUGGAAAGUAAAAGAAUUAGAAGAGUUAUCAAGCGAUAACUGUGUGUGGAAACAAUUGAAUAGUGGCUCUUAUGCUGAAGAGAUGCUUCGAUAUCAAAGUCGAGCACUUGAAGAAUUGACCCAAAUUUAUGAAUUGGUUCAUCGUCAUCAUAAAUUAAAAAUACGAAGAAAAUGGUUGAAUAGACUUAGUCCACUUUCUUUAUGUGUAUGGUGGUUAGAUGAUGGUUCAUUGGUUGCAAAUUGCCGUCAAGGGGUGAUAUGUACAGACUGUUUUUCCUAUGAUGAGUUAUUACUCGUAGUCAAAUAUUUUAGGAAAGUAUGGAAUUUAUACCCUAGUAUUGGCAAAGUAGCAAAAAGUGGACCCCGUUCUGAACAAUACCGAUUGUGGUUUCGUUCCAGAGAAGAGUUAAAGAAAUUUUUAAGGAUUAUUUUACCUUAUGUGCCAGUCAUAUCUAUGUUAUAUAAGGUACUUAUUCUUUACAAAGACCCACAACUGCAACAACGCUGGAUCUCUGAAGUAUGUGAAUUGUCAAAAUUUGGGCAAGAAGAAAUUAUGAUUUGUCUAAAUGAGCGUAAGAAAAAGAUUGCAUACUAUAAUUAAUGUUCAGAGAAUGAUAUAGUCCAAGCCUUAUGGUAACAUGAGGGCACUUGACCCUGGUAGUCCACGCCCUAAACGAUGAGAACUAGAUGUUGGGGGAAAUUGAUCCCUUAGUAUCGCAGCUAACGCGAUAAGUUCUCCGCCUGGGGAGUACGGCCGCAAGGUUAAAACUCAAAUGAAUUGACGGGGGCCCGCACAAGCGGUGGAGCAUGUGGUUCAAUUCGAUGCAACGCGAAGAACCUUACCUGGCCUUGACAUCCUCGGAACCUCGCAGAAAUGUGGGGGUGCCUUUUGGAACCGAGAGACAGGUGCUGCAUGGCUGUCGUCAGCUCGUGUCGUGAGAUGUUGGGUUAAGUCCCGCAACGAGCGCAACCCUUGUCUCUAGUUGCCAGCGAUUAGGUCGGGAACUCUAGAGAGACUGCCGGUGACAAACCGGAGGAAGGUGGGGAUGACGUCAAGUCAUCAUGGCCCUUACGGCCAGGGCUACACACGUGCUACAAUGGGUAGUACAGAGGGUUGCAAACCCGCGAGGGGGAGCUAAUCUCACAAAACUACUCGUAGUCCGGAUUGGAGUCUGCAACUCGACUCCAUGAAGUCGGAAUCGCUAGUAAUCGCGGAUCAGCAUGUCGCGGUGAAUACGUUCCCGGGCCUUGUACAAAAUAAAUGCGCCAGGCAGUUUAUUAGACUAGGUGGUGAAAAUCCAUCUAUCCGCUUUCGGACAGCGGAUAUAGGGAAGGAUAGGACACGUCUCGCAAGGGAGUGUCUGAAGGAUCCGAAACAAAUGGUAGUCUCAGCAAAAAAGGGCGUUGUGACUCAUGUGUGUACCAUGAGGAAGCAACAUACCGUAAAGCCCGCUGGGAAUGUCAGAAAUAGCCUAAUAAAUGACCCUGGGAUAUCCUGUUGUUAAGAUAACCAAUGAUGCUACGGCAGGAAGUCAGCUGAGUCAUAGUAGCCGAAGAAGUAAUUCGGUGAAGGACGAAACCGAUGAGAUUUUUUCAUUGGGCUCGCUGGAUGCGCUAGACACGCUUGUCCAGUGGGAACGCGACAAUGGUUAUAAUGAUCGCAAUCACCGCCCGUCACACCAUGGGAGUGGGCUGUACCAGAAGUAGGUAGUCUAACCUUUCGGGGAGGGCGCUUACCACGGUAUGGUUCAUGACUGGGGUGAAGUUUAACGGCUUCCUUCACGAGUAAUCGUGUUGUAAAAUCCAACUAUAUCGGUGAACCCCUAACUGUACAAGCAGUGGGCAACGCCGAGGGAAGUUAGGCUAGAAGAUAGCAGAAUGUCUCAAACUAAAAUCAGUAAUAAAAUAAAGCAAACGCGAGUUAAGUAGUUUUGAAAAAGAAAUCAUAGUCGCGUGUUUGCUUGGAGAUGGAACAUUGUCUCAAUCUGGUCAAUAUUACCGAUUGCGAAUUGAACAUGCUUCCAAAGAUAGGGAGUAUGUAGAGUGGAAAUAUAGCUUGCUAAGAAGGCUUUGUAUUUCUGGCAUUAAGGAUGUUCCAGCUCAUUCAUCACUUAGAUUCGGUACUGUAGGUCAUCCAGAAAUAUCUGAACUUAGGAAAACUUGGUAUCAGCCAGUAAAACAAGUACCCAAUCAAUUAAUAUUAACACCAUUAAUGAUUGCUAUUUGGUUUAUGGAUGAUGGUACUAAACACAGAGACACCGUUGAUAUAUCGGUUCAUAAUUUUUCUGAUAGCAGUUUGCCAAUUUUGAGAAACCAAUUAUUGAAUUAUGGUGUUUUUACUACCAUUAAUUCAGACUCAAAAGGACACAGAUUGUAUGUUUUGAAGAAAAGUUAUCCUAUCUUUGAAAAGCUUGCUAAACCGUACAUUGUAAAAUGUAUGGCACGGAAGUUGCCUUAACCCCGUAGAGGCCAUACGUUGGCUCCUUUGAAAAAAGGAUGAAGACAUGGUCCGACACCCUCAGUAAUGCGGGAUAAAACAGUAAGCGUAACAAGGUAGCCGUAGGGGAACCUGCGGCUGGAUCACCUCCUUUAAAGA
rnacentral:rRNA from 1 species